rnacentral:rRNA from 1 species
GAACCACCUGAUCCCAUACCGAACUCAGAAGUGAAACGACUUAGCGCCGAUGGUAGUGUGGGGUCUCCCCAUGUGAGAGUAGGUCAUCGUCAAGC